rnacentral:rRNA from 1 species
GUCGAACGAAACUUCUUYAUCACCGAGUGCUUGCACUCACCGAUAAAGAGUUGAGUGGCGAACGGGUGAGUAACACGUGGGCAACCUGCCCGAAAGAGGGGGAUAACACUUGGAAACAGGUGCUAAUACCGCAUAACCAUGAACACCGCAUGGUGUUUAUGUGAAAGGUGGUUUCGGCUACCGCUUUCGGAUGGGCCCGCGGCGCAUUAGCUAGUUGGUGGGGUAAAGGCUUACCAAGGCRAUGAUGCGUAGCCGAACUGAGAGGUUGAUCGGCCACAUUGGGACUGAGACACGGCCCAAACUCCUACGGGAGGCAGCAGUAGGGAAUCUUCCACAAUGGGCGAAAGCCUGAUGGAGCAACGCCGCGUGGGUGAAGAAGGUCUUCGGAUCGUAAAACCCUGUUGUCAGAGAAGAAAGUGCAUGAGAGUAACUGUUCAUGUUUCGACGGUAUCUGACCAGAAAGCCACGGCUAACUACGUGCCAGCAGCCGCGGUAAUACGUAGGUGGCRAGCGUUAUCCGGAUU